GACAGAGGUGCCGAGCGUUAGGCGGAAUCACUGGGCUUAAAGCGUGUGUAGGCGGAUCUGUAAGUCCCUUGUGAAAUCCCACGGCUCAACCGUGGAACUGCUUGGUAUACUGCGGAUCUUGAGCCACCUAGGGGCGAGCGGAACAAGUGGUGGAGCGGUGAAAUGCGUAGAUAUCACUUGGAACGCCAAUGGUGAAAACAGCUCGCUGGGGGUGUGCUGACGCUGAGACACGAAAGCCAGGGGAGCAAACGGG
rnacentral:rRNA from 1 species